CCUACGGGUGGCAGCAGUGGGGAAUAUUGCGCAAUGGGCGAAAGCCUGACGCAGCGACGCCGCGUGAGGGAUGAAGGUCUUCGGAUCGUAAACCUCUGUCAGCAGGGAAGAACGGUCACUGUGCUAAUCAGCAGUGAAUUGACGGUACCUGCAAAGGAAGCACCGGCUAACUCCGUGCCAGCAGCCGCGGUAAUACGGAGGAUGCGAGCGUUAUCCGGAUUUAUUGGGUUUAAAGGGUGCGCAGGCGGGCUGUUAAGCCGGCGGUAAAAAUUCAGGGCUCAACCCUGUCGAGCCGUCGGAACUGGCAGUCUUGAGUGGGCGAGAAGUAUGCGGAAUGCGUGGUGUAGCGGUGAAAUGCUUAGAGAUCAUACAGAACACCGAUUGCGAAGGCAGCUUACCAAGCUACUUCUGACGUUGAGGCACGAAAGCGUGGGGAGCAAACAGGAUUAGAUACCCUAGUAGUC
rnacentral:rRNA from 1 species